rnacentral:rRNA from 1 species
UCCAGACUCCUACGGGAGGCAGCAGUGAGGAAUAUUGGUCAAUGGGCUAAGGCCUGAACCAGCCAAGUCGCGUGAGGGAAGACGGUCCUAUGGAUUGUAAACCUCUUUUGUCGGGGAGCAACGAGGCCACGUGUGGCCGAAGUGAGAGUACCCGAAGAAAAAGCAUCGGCUAACUCCGUGCCAGCAGCCGCGGUAAUACGGAGGAUGCGAGCGUUAUCCGGAUUUAUUGGGUUUAAAGGGUGCGCAGGCGGCACGGCAAGCCGGCGGUCAAAUCGCGGGGCUCAACCCCGCCCAGCCGUCGGAACUGCCGGGCUAGAGUGGGCGAGAAGUGCGCGGAAUGCGUGGUGUAGCGGUGAAAUGCAUAGAUAUCACGCAGAACUCCGAUUGCGAAGGCAGCGCACCGGCGCCCUACUGACGCUCAGGCACGAAAGCGUGGGUAUCGAACAGGAUUAGAUACCCCUGUA